CACAUCGGUCCACUAAUCUAUGCC
rnacentral:siRNA from 1 species